rnacentral:lncRNA from 1 species
GGGGGCCCGCUCUCGGCUCUCGCUCCGGCCCGGCUGCUCCGAGGCAGCGGCGGCGGCGGCUCCCGGGCUCUUGUCAGCGGGCGGCGGGCGGGGCGGCCGAGGAGACCGCGGCGGGGGUGGAGCCCCGAGGCCCCGCCCCCAGCGCGGGCGGGAACGUGAGCCGGCGGGUCGGGGAUGCGCGACGCGGCGGGGCCCGGGGACCGCCCCUCGGCCGCCGGCGGGGAUGCUGCGUCCGGGGGAUCCCGGCUGCCUCCCGCCUGUCCUGCGCGGAGCUCCCGCCCGAGCCCGGGAAGAAGGCUCUGUACAUCAAGAGAGGAGCUUGAAAAACAACAGGACCUAGAUCCUCAUGUUCUGAAGUAAUUCAUAUUUAUCAAAGCCAAGUCCAUGUGGGAGGUAAGCAGAGGAUCCUGUGGGGUGAGGGGGGAGCAGUCCUCUUCAUUUCUAUUUGUCUUUUCACAUUUUUAUCUGUCUGUAGUGUUGUACCAUAAUCAAUUUAUAAGUGGGAGUGACCCAUUAAAAUAGAGAAGUCUCCUCUGAAAAACAGUCAAGGAAGACAAGAAUACUUUAGGAAAUGUUGCUCUAGGACGACACAAUGCUAACAAACAGCAUUUACAUUACUGACGUAUAACCCAGGGCCGGAUGGUCCUCUCUCAGGAGGCUAAUGUACAAUUUUCCUAUAACAUGUCAGUUUCAGCUGAUCAAAAUAAUUUGUGAUUUAGCCUUAAAUACCAUUAUGCUAUCCAAAAGCAGGUAUAACAGCUAUCCAAUUGGUCAAGGCAAUAGCCUAACAUGUUUUCGCUCGACAGUCUAAGUAAUAUUUAAGACUGAAAACAAAGCACUGAGCCGUAGUGCUUUAUUCUCCUACUGUUACGGAACAUUCACGCACUGACAAGUGCCACUCAUUAACCAUAUGGCUAGGUGCUUACAAGUGUGUACUGCAGAAAUGUGGACUUGGAACAGAAAAUCUACCUUCUAAUAGUGUGAAUGCUUAUUAUGAAAGCCAAAUCCUCAUGUUUACUAUGGAAGACUAUAGAUAACAUUCAGGGUGUAUAGAUAUAGUUUAAAAAGAAACCCAGGAAACUUUAAAUAAGUCAUUAACAAAUAUUAAAGAAAUCAGCUGAGGUCGUAUCCCUUUGAUGCAUAAGGAUCAUACUUUGUAAACCUGUAAACAUGUACUUUGUUACUUAAAAAAUCUUCCUAUUACCAGGAAAGCAGACUAUUAAAGGCCAAGAGUAUUCCAGGAGGCCUCCUCCAAAGGUAUGACAAUAUGGCUAAAUCCUACAAUUACAAAAAUGAGACCUGCUGAGAAAAUGAGUUCCAGACGGGGACUUUUAUGGAGGACCUUGACUGACAAAUGGUU